rfam:Triticum aestivum genome assembly, contig: Triticum_aestivum_CS42_TGACv1_scaffold_405378_5BL
CACAUACUACCUCCGUUCCGAAUUACUUGUCGCAGGUAUGGAUGUAUCUAGAUGUAUUUUAGUUCUAGAUACAUCCAUUUCUGCAACAUGUAAUUUGGAACGGAGGGAGUAGAUA